CGCUUGGCUUGUUGUGUUUCCUCGUGAUCAGAAGCAGUUUAUUCCGAAUGGCAACAACAAUCCUCAGCUCUCUGCUAUGUAAAAUUUGGGCAGCUGAGAAAAAGAUUAACUGAA